UGACUUUACAACUGCAGCCAUCUUUCGGGGAUUUUCAGAGGAAGAAGAUUCCAUGUACACUAUUAGGUGCAUAAAACAGACGAUCACAGAGGCUCCUUCAGAACGACAGCAUUGUAUGGGGAAACUGUUGGAGCCCGUGAUGUACAGAUUGAAUCUCGAUUGAAGGAUCCAGAGCUGUGCUGAGUCUGGAGAGCUGCCCCAUGGAGUUCAGACACGGGCGGGGGUGGCCCGAAAAGGACUGAGAAUACAAGCUGACUCGUGGAUGAGGCGCGGGGUCAUGGACAACUCCAUCUCGAAGCCGCGAGGAAGACUGAAGCAUUGAGGUGAAUGCAGAGGGGGUCUGCGAUGGCUCCCAGCGGAGACGGUCAGCAGCCAGGAGCUGGGUUAGCGGUCACUCUUUGCGGAAGGACUGAGGACUCCUCGUAUGCUGAUCAAAAAAGCGUUUCCCAUAUUCUGAGAUUUUAUGUGAUCAUUGGACUGUGCUCUAUAUUGGUUUCUUUGAAGUUUUCGGUGUUUUAUUUCUGGUGGACUAUUGGCAGAUAAGGCACCGUUAAAUGAGAGGACAACACUGUGGGGUUACUACUUUCUUGAGAAAAGCUGAACCUAACAUAUUUACUAUUCACUGUGUAAUUCACGGACAACAUCUUGUUGCAAAAAAAACCCCAGUGAUCUACUGCAUGAAAUUACUAAAUACUGUCAUCGCAGCUGUAAAUAAAAUCAAGUCCCAUGCUAUGAAUUCUCAACUAUUUUGAGAGCUUUUUAUUGAGAAUGAUGAACAGCUUGAACACUUGCUGAUGCACACAGAAAUCAAAUGGUUCUCGGAAAGGAAACUACUCAAGAUGCUGUUACAUGCUUUUCAAAACUGUGAUAAAAUUAUUUGAAGACUUGAAUUCUGCAUUCAGAAAUCACCUCAACAAUAUUAGGCAUGUCAUUCUUAUUUGUCAGAAUUAUUUACAGUUUUUAAUGAAAUCAGUUUUCAAUUGCAAGGAAGUAAUGUGAAUCUUAUCAAAGUCAAAUCUGUCAUCUCCACUUUUAUGUGCAAGUUAAUCCUAUUUAAAUGCAACAUUGGCUGCCAUGGCCUUUUUCAUUUUCCGAGCCUGUCUGAG